rnacentral:lncRNA from 1 species
CUUCGAUAUACAGUUUAAAUAACCAUUUUUCUAAUAUAUAAUAUAUAUCCAAGCAACUCAUAUCUAAGCAUUCUUGGUACGCAAAUACAUACCCAACAAUUCAUUGAUAUACUCACUAUUUUAUCGACUAUACCUUAUUUAAGCCUCAAAAUGAAGCAAUAUAUAUUUGGUUGCUGUUUCGUCAAUACAUAGCAUAUGUUCAAGUAAUACACACAUGAGCC